rnacentral:misc_RNA from 1 species
AGCCAACAAAGGGUGCAAAUUAUGAAGACAAUAUGAGAAAUUAGUAUGAUAAGAUGUGUUGUUCCAACUGGACCAAGGAAUUGUAGGAUGAGCCUCCAUUCUUCAUGCUAGAUUCAACCUUCUCCUUCAAUUCUAUAGUUUUCUGCCUCAUCUCCAUCCCCUCUGCACUUACCAUUAGCCUUCUGACUGCUCUUGUUACCUCCUCUCUUUCCAACUCAUUUUCCAGCUCCAAUCCCACUUUCCAUACAUGGCACACAUACCUCGCAUUAACUUUUUGGUCCCCAAAACAUGGUCGACAUAUCAUAGGAACCCCUUCACUGAUACUUUCAAGCGUAGAAUUCCAA